CUCGUAGGCGGUUCGUCGCGUCCGGUGUGAAAGUCCAUCGCUUAACGGUGGAUCUGCGCCGGGUACGGGCGGGCUGGAGUGCGGUAGGGGAGACUGGAAUUCCCGGUGUAACGGUGGAAUGUGUAGAUAUCGGGAAGAACACCAAUGGCGAAGGCAGGUCUCUGGGCCGCUACUGACGCUGAGGAGCGAAAGCGUGGGGAGCGAACA
rnacentral:rRNA from 1 species